GACGAACGCUGGCGGCGUGCUUAACACAUGCAAGUCGAACGGAAAGGCCCUGCUUUUGUGGGGUGCUCGAGUGGCGAACGGGUGAGUAACACGUGAGUAACCUGCCCUUGACUUUGGGAUAACUUCAGGAAACUGGGGCUAAUACCGGAUAGGAGCUCCUGCUGCAUGUUGUGGGUUGGAAAGUUUCGGCGGUUGGGGAUGGACUCGCGGCUUAUCAGCUUGUUGGUGGGGUAGUGGCUUACCAAGGCUUUGACGGGUAGCCGGCCUGAGAGGGUGACCGGCCACAUUGGGACUGAGAUACGGCCCAGACGCCUACGGGAGGCAGCAGUGGGGAAUAUUGCACAAUGGGGGGAAGCCUGAUGCAGCAACGCCGCGUGCGGGAUGACGGCCUUCGGGUUGUAAACCGCUUUCGCCUGUGACGAGGCGUGAGUGACGGUAAUGGGUAAAGAAGCACCGGCUAACUACGUG
rnacentral:rRNA from 1 species